GAUGACGUAUGCCGCCUUCGAAUUUGACCUCCGGAGGGCGCAGCCUUCUAAAUGAGACACAGCAAUUGAUGCAGUGUUUACCUUGG